rnacentral:rRNA from 2 species
CCCAAGCUUAGAGUUUGAUCCUGGCUCAGGCUGAACGCCGGCGGUGUGCCUAAUACAUGCAAGUCGAACGCGUUGGCCCAAUUGAUUGACGGUGCUUGCACCUGAUUGAUUUUGGUUGCCAACGAGUGGCGGACGGGUGAGUAACACGUAGGUAACCUGCCCAGAAGCGGGGGACAACAUUUGGAAACAGAUGCUAAUACCGCAUAACAGCGUUGUUCGCAUGAACAACGCUUAAAAGAUGGCUUCUCGCUAUCACUUCUGGAUGGACCUGCGGUGCAUUAGCUUGUUGGUGGGGUAACGGCCUACCAAGGCGAUGAUGCAUAGCCGAGUUGAGAGACUGAUCGGCCACAAUGGGACUGAGACACGGCCCAUACUCCUACGGGAGGCAGCAGUAGGGAAUCUUCCACAAUGGGCGCAAGCCUGAUGGAGCAACACCGCGUGAGUGAAGAAGGGUUUCGGCUCGUAAAGCUCUGUUGUUAAAGAAGAACACGUAUGAGAGCAACUGUUCAUACGUUGACGGUAUUUAACCAGAAAGUCACGGCUAACUACGUGCCAGCAGCCGCGGUAAUACGUAGGUGGCAAGCGUUAUCCGGAUUUAUUGGGCGUAAAGAGAGUGCANGCGGUUUUUCUAGUCUGAUGUGAAAGCCUUCGGCUUAACCGGAGAAGUGCAUCGGAAACUGGAUAACUUGAGUGCAGAAGAAGGUAGUGGAACUCCAUGUGUAGCGNUGGAAUGCGUAGAUAUAUGGAAAAACACCAGUGGCGAAGGCGGCUACCUGGUCUGCAACUGACGGUGAGACUCGAAAGCAUGGGUAGGGAACCAGGAUUAGAUACCUGGGUAGUCCAUGCGGUAACNGAUGAGUGCUAGGUGUUGAGGGUUUCCGCCNUUUCAGUGCCGGAGCUAACGCAUUAAGCACUCCGCCUGGGGAGUACGACCGCAAGGUGAAACUCAAAGGAAUUGACGGGGGCCCGCACAAGCGGUGGAGCAUGUGGUUUAAUUCGAAGCUACGCGAAGAACCUUACCAGGUCUUGACAUCUUGCGCCAACCCUAGAGAUAGGGCGUUUCCUUCGGGAACGCAAUGACAGGUGGUGCAUGGUCGUCGUCAGCUCGUGUCGUGAGAUGUUGGGUUAAGUCCCGCAACGAGCGCAACCCUUGUUACUAGUUGCCAGCAUUAAGUUGGGCACUCUAGUGAGACUGCCGGUGACAAACCGGAGGAAGGUGGGGACGACGUCAGAUCAUCAUGCCCCUUAUGACCUGGGCUACACACGUGCUACAAUGGACGGUACAACGAGUCGCGAACUCGCGAGGGCAAGCAAAUCUCUUAAAACCGUUCUCAGUUCGGACUGCAGGCUGCAACUCGCCUGCACGAAGUCGGAAUCGCUAGUAAUCGCGGAUCAGCAUGCCGCGGUGAAUACGUUCCCGGGCCUUGUACACACCGCCCGUCACACCAUGAGAGUUUGUAACACCCAAAGUCGGUGGGGUAACCUUUUAGGAGCCAGCCGCCUAAGGUGGGACAGAUGAUUAGGGUGAAGUCGUAACAAGGUAGCCGUAGGAGAACCUGCGGCUGGAUCACCUCCUGUCGACGCGU